rnacentral:lncRNA from 1 species
CAAGAUUCCGCUCUCUUGGGGAAUUACUGCUGAUGGAUAUGUGGCCUUUGCUGAUGAUGCAGAACUGCUCAAGGGUGCUUGUGGCAAGUCACUUGCUUCUUUCCCUCAAGGUGUGUAAAAGUCUUUUAGCGGGAGCAUCGGUGCACCUAAUUCCUUGAUUUUUUUGGUCCACCAAUAAUUUGACAAAUUGCAACAUGAUGUAUGAGUUUUGAAAACAAAUCUCUGUUCUUUGUUAACCAUGGUGUUAUUAAUUUGUACAGGAUGUUUCUACUCCACGUCUGUUGGAGGACUGAGAAGCUAUGAGAAUCCUAAACAAGAUCACAGCUGUGCCUGCUACUGAUGAAGAAAUCUGGGGUGCAACAUUUAAGGUAAAUAUGAAGUGCCUAAUUUUGCUUUAGCAAGAGAACUGACUGUAGUUUUAUUAACACCGGUUGAUGCUAUUUAGCAUUUGGGUUGCGGCCGGAUUAUUCCUUAUGUGGGGUCAUUCUAGUGGGAUAGGAAUAAGAUCUAUUUUGAUUGACGCGAUGUGUAUUAUUAUGUCGCUAAUGAUAAGUAGGCUCUCUGAAUGGUUAGAUCAUAUGAUGCAAGAACUAUCUUCGUAUCCAAACAGCAUUGCAGUAGCAUCUCAACACAAAGAGCCUUAGCUGGAGAAAGUUUCACAUCAUCUGCUUAGUCUUUUGCAGCCUUAGCUGAUUAUGUAAAACAAUUCCUGAUUAAGGCUCUUGGAAUUGAGAUGCUAAAGCUUCCUUUUUAAGGACAUUAUAUUCCGAGCAAAAAGAAAAAGUGAUGUUUGAGUAUGAAGAUUGUCUGUUGAUUUUGAGAAUCAUUUAGAAGAUCUCAUGAAGCCAGUGACUAGGGUCAGGCAUUCGUGAUUGUAAAUUGUCGGCAUUUUACUUCCCCGUCCAUCUCUAUGGUUGUACCAAUUACCCACGGCGAUGAAAAAACCAAUAAUAGUAUGUGAGACGAUGAUGACAAUUCACACCAACUUUAAUAAUGUUGAUUUGGACCACAUUUUUCGUCAACUUGACGGGGUGAAAUUUUCAGGUGGAAGGGCCAGCAGUUCUUGCAGCCACAAAGUAGAAGUUUUGUCCUGAUAGGGCGCUGCGUGGUCAUCUUCAAAAUCUAAAUCUGUAUCCGUUUCCUCCUAGAAGAAGUGAGGUUUUUAUGUGGCGUUGGAUGCAAGGCAUACAUGAGGAGCCAGUAAAUACCUAGAAGAAGUGAGUGAGUGUUGAUAAGAGUGUGUUUCUCGUGUAGUUUCUGCUCGUUGUAUUCUAAACUUCUACCAACGUACAGCUAUGCUUUUGUUGAUCUAAAAAUAAUGUUGUAUUAAGGACCGGUUUGGAGUUAAUUAAGAAGUUUAUUUAGUAAUAAUAUCGUAAUUGCUUCCUCUCCAUUGAAUGGAGGAGCAACCAAUGCAAUUGCUCCUUCUGCACCUCCAAUCGCACAUUUUUCUUUUCAGUUGCAAGGCUCAUCAAAACUGAAUGUGAUUUUGUUUGAACUGAAAAUAAGGAAACUAACGAA